CAGUCGCCACGGUAAUACGAAGGGGGCUAGCGUUGCUCGGAAUGACUGGGCGUAAAGGGCGCGUAGGCGGAUUGUUUAGUUAGGCGUGAAAUUCCUGGGCUUAACCUGGGGACUGCGCUUAAUACAGGCAGUCUAGAGUGAGGAAGAGGGUUGUGGAAUUCCCAGUGUAGAGGUGAAAUUCGUAGAUAUUGGGAAGAACACCGGUGGCGAAGGCGGCAACCUGGUCCUUGACUGACGCUGAGGCGCGAAAGCGUGGGGAGCAAACAGGAUUAGAUACCCGGGUAGUCCCUGUCUCUUAUAC
rnacentral:rRNA from 1 species